GACCGCUUAGCGCAGUGGUAGCGCAUCUGAUUCCAGACAAACCGUUCUAGGAACUUCCAGAAGGCCAUCCGUUCGAUCCGGAUAGCGGUCA